AAAAUACUUCACUCAUUUCAAAAUAUGCCUUCAAACAAAUCGGACUAAAUAUUAAAUCAUAAUGACAAGGUUUUGGAAAAUACAUUCAAUCGUUCCAGAAGUCGAUGAAUAUCCUUUGAUGUCAUCACCUGUACCAAUUAUUACGGGAACAGCAAUCUACUUAUUUGUAGUUUUAAAAUUGGGACCUACUUUCAUGGAAAAGAGAAAACCAUUUGACUUAAGAAAAUUUUUGAUGUUUUAUAAUUUAUUUCAAAUUUGUGCGUGUUAUUGGGCUGCUGCAAGAUUUACUGAAUUAGGAUUCUCAUUUAGAAAUACAUGGCAAUGUAUUCCAAGUCGUUUGGAAAUCAAUGAAAACUGGCGUUCAAAAAUGCAAGUUGGUAUGUUUUUGUUAUUUGUGAGGGGAAUUGAAGUUGUAGAGACAUUAUGCUUUGUGUUGAGGAAAAAACAAAAUCAAGUGUCUUUUCUUCAUAUUUAUCACCAUAUAUCAGUAUUUUGGCUUUUAUGGUUAACAAUAAAAAUCAGUGCAGGUGAUAUGGAGCUAUUCGUAAUGGUUUUAAAUCUCUACGUGCAUGUGGUCAUGUACGUUUAUUACUUUUUUGCAUUGUUUAAGCCAAUGCAGUUAAUUUUAAAGCCCAUAAAACCAGCUAUUACUAUAAUGCAAAUGGUAAGACUUUCAUUUUUCGUAUGUGUCGACAUUUAAGUUUUUAAUUUCAUUUAAAUUUUUUCAGACUCAGUUCAUCCUUAUGUUUGGACAUGUUAUUACAGCUUUAAAACCCAGUUGUCACGUUAAUAAGACAAUAUUCUAUUCAUUUUUACCCAACGUUGUUAUCAUUUUCUACUUAUUCUAUGACUUUUACAAAAAGUCUUAUAAAAGACAGCUAGACACAAAUCAUGUAAAAUACUCAAAGAUUCUUAAAAUCAAUGAAAACAAAAUAAAAUAGUUUAUUGCUGAAUUGAUAGACUGCAUUUUUUAAUAAAUAAUCAUAUCAUAUCAUAAUAAAUAUCUAUGAUC